AUGGUCGUCCUCGCCCCCGCCUCCUCCUUCCACCACCAGAGGGCCGCUGCUGCUGCCGCCGCGGCGGACGCCGCCGACCAAGGGUUCGCCCUCCUCUCCGCGGGGCAGUGCGGGCUCGCCGACCCUGGCGCUCCCAAGUCCGGCAGCGCCAUCCAAUUCUGGCAGUCGCACUCGCAGCCCCACACGACGCCGCCCGCCGCUGCCCCCGCCGACAAGAAGCAGGUCGUCUCCGCGGUGGACUACGGCGGCGUCUCCUCCGGAUCCGGCGGCUCCACCACGUGCAACGACUGCGGCAACCAGGCGAAGAAAGACUGCCCCCACCAGCGCUGCCGGACGUGCUGCAAGAGCCGCGGCUUCGACUGCACGACGCACGUCAGGAGCACCUGGAUCCCGGCCGCCCGGCGCCGCGAGAAGCACCCGCUCGGCGGCGACCUUUCCCCUCCCGCCGCUCCUGCCACGGCGGCCACCAAGAAACCGCGGUUCCACUCCUCCCAGACCACCACCACCACCACCACCUCUCGCACCUCCACCUCCAACGGCACCUCCUCGAGCCAACAAGACGCGCCGUUCAGGGACAGCCUGCCGCGGCACGUGCGCGCGCCGGCGGUGUUCCGGUGCGUGCGGGUGACCUCCGUCGACGACGGCGCGGACGAGUUCGCGUACCAGGCGGCGGUGAGCAUCAACGGCCACAUGUUCAGGGGGUUUCUCUACGACCAGGGCGCCGACAACGGCCGCACCAGCAACGACGAGCCCAGCCACGCGCACGCGGCCGCCGUGCGUAGCAUCUCCGACCUCCACCUCGGCAACGCCUCCACGGUGCCGCCGGACAUGUACAACACCGUCAGCGGGGCGCUCAUUCUCGGCGGGAUGGGCUAUGCGGGAAAAAGAGAGCCAAUGUGCAAUGCAUGUGGUGAUAAGAAUUCUCUUGCCCUCUUAAAAUAA
rnacentral:rRNA from 1 species